AUGGUUUUUGUCUUUCACUGUGAGUAUGAUGGUGAUCAGUGGGCCGUCCCGUCCCUGACUAUGACUGUCUCUUCUUCAGUGAUAGUGAUUUCUGCUGCUGCUGCGUCUGCUGUUUUCCUGGCUGCUGUUCUCUGGCUGAUCUGCAGAAAAAGAGCUGGUAAUAAAAGAGAGACUGAUGAAUCGGUGGUCAAAGAUGAGAAUGAAGAUAAAGUGACGUAUGAGACGAUCAACAUGUCCACUCCUGCUGCUGCGAGAGACAACGAGCAGACAGAUGAUGUGACUUACUCUGAAGUCUCUUGUUCCAGUAAAAAGCCAGUAAAAUCACUCAAAGUGAGUAGACAGCAGCUCAUUCUCUUGUUCUUCAUCACUGACUGCUGUUCAGCUUCUCUCGUCUAUACGCUGCUGAGAUGUAGUUCUGAAUCUGAAUCUCAGAUAAAUGAAGCUUUAUCAACAUGUGGCUGUGGUUCAAACACUGACGGAGAAACUCUGUGCUGUUCUUUCAGGAUCAAGAUGAUUCAGUGACUUACGCUGCCAUCAGAUGAACAGAAAAUGAGCCGCUGGGUGAACUUUACGCCUCUGUGAACAAGAACAAGAGCUGCACAAAUCCAGAUUCAUGAUACAGAUCACUGCAUGAGCUCCUCGUAUCAGCAGCAGAUGUGACGUUUCCACGACUGCUGAGAUUCACGAUAUAUUUGGAAGAAUUAUACGAAACAUAUGUCAGAUAUUUCUUGAACUGAAAAGUAAAAUGCUGUAAAAAAAAAAAAAAAAAGUUUCCCAAAUUUUCAACCAGAUGCAGAAGAAGCUACUCUUGCUUUCAGUAUUUAAAGACUGUUUCUUGUAGAGAGUAGUCUGAGAAUUACAUCCCGAAAUCAAAAGAGAAAUAAAGAGUCAUGGGUUCAAACGAGUUCUUCUAUUCCAGUCAGAAAGCUGAUGUUUAUUGACUGAAUUAUGAGAUGAGGAUGAUUAAAAUGAUGUUUGAUUGUGUCACAUUUACAUUCUCCCGUCGAAACACCACAACAUCCUGAAAUCAAAAGAAAAUCAAAACAAUGAAGUCGAUUAAGAUUGUUUUGCACUGAGAUUAUUUAUAUUUUCAUCAGUUCUUGUUCUCUUGGGUUUGUGUCUCUCCUCACUGGAUGUGGUUGUGUUUUGUCUUCAUUAGUGUCUGUGUGAGUUUGGAUCUUCAUUUGUGUGUGUUUCUCAUGAUAAUGUGUCCAGAUAAAUAAUAAUAAAAAGCCCAUUAAGAUGAUUGUUUUGUUUGUUUGUUUUUUCAUUAUGUUCAUUCAAAUACUGUGAGUGAAUACUGUGUGUGUAGUCAAAUACUAAAAGGUCUCAGUGUAUCUGGAUGUUUUGCUUCUAAUGUCAGCUUGCUCUUGUGAUAACUUACCCCAUAUAUUGUGAUGAAAAGGAACUCAUUAUUUAUUAAUUUUUUUCUGGGCAAUAAUAGAGGAAGUGUUCAGUUGCUGUUUUGUUUUGCUUUCGGCAAAGACUUUAGGAUAUGUGAACUGGCUUGACUAAAAUGUGCAAAUGGAAUCAAAUAAACACUGAAAUAUUCAUCAGUCACUCCAUAAAACAUCCACCGCAUCACAUGACACCAAAUGUUAAUCAAAGCCAUGAUCAGAUCUUUAUUCCCCAACAUGUGAAACAUCUUUAUAGACACUUCAUUUCUAAAGACUUCUAGUCAAACUGGCCCUGAGUGAAGAAUCAGAUAUUUAUGCUCUUCUGUUUCUGAACAAAUCUUUAAAGUGAAUAAAUUGUUCUCAUUCACUGACUCUCUUUGUAAGAAAAAUAAUGGAUCUGCUUUGUUGCUGUUUGUGUUGAAAAUGCUUAUAUUUCUCACCAUUGCUGGUAAUAUUGUGCUUAUAUGGUAACACUAAAACUAUUUCUGGAGGUGAGCAGCAAUGUUUUCGGGUCACAUCUUUCUCUCAUAUAUCAGUUCAUAUGGAAACACACCUGUAGUAGGUUAUUCAGUUCACCUGAAGCUGCUCAGUGACUGCUCUGAUCCUUUCAGAUGUGCUUUAUAUCUCAUGCCUUCAUAAACUCUGUGAAAACACUGAGCUGAACUGAGAACUAUUGUCCGUAGCGAUGCUCUCAUGGUGGUCAUUACGACUAAAAACAGCCAGAAAUUUAAUGAUGUCCUCAGUAGCUGCACUGUUAGCAAAUGCAAGCUCAGGUCACUUGGAAUAAUAGUAUGUGAGCGUUACAGCGUGUCUGCAAGCAGGGACGGAUGUUUAAAAUGGUACAUCUAUAUCAGACCCAGUUUUUUUCAUGGGCCCUCAGGAAACUGAACUGUGUGCAAGAGUGCUGGUGUGUCACAGCAGAGUUAUCAAUAGACUGACAGGAGAUGCAGAAAUACUGAGAUAAGCUUUCAGUACUUAUAAGUGUUGUUGAUAAGUGUUCAUUUAACUUACAUUUUUGAGUCAUCUGUUUAAAAUAUUAAGACAUUUCACCUUGACUAAUUUAGUUCUUAUAGUCCAGUAGUUUUCAAGUGAAAGUGAAAGUCAUGACAUUUGCCAAGUAUGGUGACCCAUACUCGGAAUUGGUGCUCUGCAUUUAACCCAUCCAAGUGCACACACACAGCAGUGAGAAGUGAACAUACCAUGAACACACAGUGGGCAGCUAUAUCCAGCGCCCGGGGAGCAACUGGGGGUUCAGUGCCUUGCUCAAGGGCACUUCAGUCAUGGGUAUUGAGGUUGGAAGAGAGCGCUGUUUAUUCACUCCCUCCCACCUACAACUCCUGCCAGCACCGAGACUCUAACCUGUGACCUUCUGGUUACAAGUCCAAUUCUCUAACCAUUAGGCCACAGCUACCCCCAAUAGCAAAGUUCAUGCACUGUAAAUAAAUAAUAAAAAGUUGUUUUUGGAGUUGGUUAAUCAUCCUCUGCUGAGAUCUUGAGAGGUUUCAUUGAUUUGAUUUGCAGUCUAUGCAUCAGAUCAGUUAUGUGCAGAAAUGAAUUUAAAUGGAAAUUGAUCCUUCUUUAUUUUGUGUAUUUAACAUGCUGCUUUUCCAUAAUUGAUAAAUAGUCAAUGUCUGGCCUACAUGUUUUAUUUAUCUUUUAGUUAUUUCUCCAUGUGACACGGCCUUACAUGUUGUUCUAGAAGCUGUUACAGCCGGAUCCACCCUACUGCUCUCUAAAGAGAGAGAUGUUAAAAUUAACUCAUUGUGUCAAUGUGAAACAGGCAGAUGUAAAAAUAUUAACCGUUUCAAGGUGUGAGAACCAUGAGGGCCGUAAGUGACAUUUCACCAACUUUACAGGAGGGCCAAAACAAAAACUGACCAUAGUUUGAUCUGACUUUGUGUACUGCUUUCAAUCAUUUAUAAUAAAAAUUUGUACACACAUGGAUGACAGUAUACUUAUUGAACACUAUUUAAACAUUUAUUCAGAAAACAAAAAAAAAAAAAUCACAUGCACCUUUUUGGCACCAAUGUUUUAUUCCAUGUCGUGUAUAAAAACACAUCUAAUAACAAUAUGAGCAAAGCAUUAGCCUACAUGAAUGAGUUUAAAACAAAUAAAUCUAUUGUGGUAAAAUAAAAUCACAUAGAAGUCUUUGUAUCAAAUUGAUUGAUUUUACAAAAAUGGUAAUCCCAGCCACUUAACUAUUUUGCCAAAUCGAUUGAAAAGCCUUUACAGAUGCCUUCUCUAGUAAGGUUGGGAACCAAGAACAGGUUCUUAUUCAGAACCGGUUCUGUUUAUUAAAAAGAACAAUUUCAAAGGUUAGGUUCUGAAAACUGUUCUGGUGUGACACAUGACCAAGCGCUGUGGGCAGUCUUGCGCCGGUGUUUCCCGUAAAGGAUGUCACAAACCGACUAACAGAAACGCCGUCCUGCCUCUUUAAUUACUGAGCACAUUGAUUCCAGUGACGUGCACUCCACAGACGCACCGCGUCACGUUGUGUCUUUAACUACCGAACAUAUGUUUCCCACAACUGCACGCGCACUUGCACCUUUGAUAACUGUGCACAUUGUUUUGUCUGAAUGUACAUGUACCGGCAGCGCGCAGA
ensembl:lncRNA